UACGUAGGGUGCGAGCGUUGUCCGGAUUUAUUGGGCGUAAAGAGCUCGUAGGCGGCUUGUCGCGUCGGAUGUGAAAGCCCGGGGCUUAACUCCGGGUCUGCAUUCGAUACGGGCAGGCUAGAGUGUGGUAGGGGAGAUCGGAAUUCCUGGUGUAGCGGUGAAAUGCGCAGAUAUCAGGAGGAACACCGGUGGCGAAGGCGGUUCUCUGGGCCUUACCUGACGCUGAGGAGCGAAAGCGUGGGGAGCGAACAGG
rnacentral:rRNA from 1 species